rnacentral:rRNA from 1 species
UAGGUUACGUCAAGACUCACGGCUAUUAACCGUAGGCUUUUCUUCUCUACUGAAAGUGCUUUACAACCCGCAGGCCUUCUUCACACACGCGGCAUUGCUGGAUCAGGCUUGCGCCCAUUGUCCAAUAUUCCCC